UUUGUCGCGUUGUUCGUGAAAUCUCACGGCUUAACUGUGAGCGUGCGGGCGAUACGGGCAGACUUGAGUACUGCAGGGGAGACUGGAAUUCCUGGUGUAGCGGUGGAAUGCGCAGAUAUCAGGAGGAACACCGGUGGCGAAGGCGGGUCUCUGGGCAGUAACUGACGCUGAGGAGCGAAAGCGUGGGGAGCGAACAGGAUUAGAUACCCUGGUAGUCCACGCCGUAAACGGUGGGUACUAGGUGUGGGUUUCCUUCCUUGGGAUCCGUGCCGUAGCUAACGCAUUAAGUACCCCGCCUGGGGAGUACGGCCGCAAGGCUAAAACUCAAAGAAAUUGACGGGGGCCCGCACAAGCGGCGGAGCAUGUGGAUUAAUUCGAUGCAACGCGAAGAACCUUACCUGGGUUUGACAUGCACAGGACGCCGGCAGAGAUGUCGGUUCCCUUGUGGCCUGUGUGCAGGUGGUGCAUGGCUGUCGUCAGCUCGUGUCGUGAGAUGUUGGGUUAAGUCCCGCAACGAGCGCAACCCUUGUCUCAUGUUGCCAGCGGGUAAUGCCGGGGACUCGUGAGAGACUGCCGGGGUCAACUCGGAGGAAGGUGGGGAUGACGUCAAGUCAUCAUGCCCCUUAUGUCCAGGGCUUCACACAUGCUACAAUGGCCGGUACAAAGGGCUGCGAUGCCGCGAGGUUAAGCGAAUCCUUUUAAAGCCGGUCUCAGUUCGGAUCGGGGUCUGCAACUCGACCCCGUGAAGUCGGAG
rnacentral:rRNA from 1 species